GGACGUCGAAGGUGGGGCUGAUGACUGGGGUGAAGUCGUAACAAGGUAUCCGUACCGGAAGGUGCGGAUGGAUCACCUCCUAACAGGGAGACAAACAACGAUUUUGAUGCCUGAGUGUUUUUAUUCUUAGGCCGAAAUCCUGUCACCUUAUGGUCGAUCGGUACCUCAGCUUUGAAGUCAAGAAACUGCAGAAAUGUGGUUUGCUUGAUGGAAAUUUUCAGUUCCUAAACUUUGUCUAGGUCACACCCCACAAGGGUUGAGUCUCCUGGGCCAUUAGCUCAGGUGGUUAGAGCGCACCCCUGAUAAGGGUGAGGUCCCUGGUUCAAGUCCAGGAUGGCCCAUUCGGUGUUGGGGGUUUAGCUCAGUUGGUAGAGCGCCUGCUUUGCAAGCAGGAUGUCAGGAGUUCGAGUCUCCUAACCUCCACUGACCGAACUCAAUCUCCAUUGUCCGAUUUUGGAGGAUGAACUCGAGUGUGGUUUGUGAUUUAGAUAUGUCCGCUGGAAGACCCUAGCUUCCUGUCAUUCCAAAGCAUGAGUAUUGACUCAGGAUUUGGUUGAUAAGAUGCUGGGCUCAAACUGAGCAAUCAGUUUGAUUUCUAGCAGAACCUUGACAACUGCAUAGGAAAGUCUGGAAAAAACAAAGCAUCUUACAGAUGCAUUGUUUUGAGUUUAAUCUUUCGAAAGGAAGAUUAAAUCCAGAGCAAUGAACAAUUCUUUUGAGCAAGAGCCGAGACUCUUGAGCGUUCUUGGAUUCGUGUCGAGCGAAUCUGAGUUUGAUUUUAUUUUAUUUUUCAGUGAAAACUGAGGAAUAAGGUUUAAGAAUCUGCUUUCAACGGCAGCAAGCGUUCAAGAGAUUAAUUGGUCAAGCUACAAAGGGCUCACG
rnacentral:misc_RNA from 1 species